UCACUGGUGGCUCAGUGGUAAAGAAUCUGCCUGCAAUGCAGAAGACCUGGGUUCAAUUCCUGCGUCAGGAA
rnacentral:tRNA from 1 species